GUCCACGCCCUAAACUAUGCAUAUUUGGUGUAGGUCAUUCAGUUGAUCUGUGCCGGAGCUAACGCGUUAAAUAUGCCGCCUUGGGAGUACAGUCGCAAGGCUGAAACUCAAAGGAAUUGACGGGGGCCCGCACAAGCGGUGGAGCAUGUGGUUCAAUUCUACGCAACGCGAAGAACCUUACCUGGGCUCGAACGGCUCACGAAAAGCUGUGGAAACACGGUUUUCCCGCAAGGGACGGGAGUCGAGGUGCUGCAUGGCUGUCGU
rnacentral:rRNA from 1 species